rfam:Hafnia alvei FB1, complete genome.
UACGGACAUCAACGAUUCAUUUUGUGAACCUUGGCCCACGGCGAGAUAGGCAUUCAUGCCCAGCUCUUUCAUCUGCUGUUCACCGAUAACGCGCGUGCUAACGUUCGGGCUGAAGCUAUCGGCAAGCUGACGAGCCUGCGAAGCCAAAUAGCCUGCGUUACAGAUGUUUGGCGGCAUAUUGCCAAGAUCUUUUGC